rnacentral:rRNA from 1 species
AUUGAACGCUGGCGGCAGGCCUAACACAUGCAAGUCGAGCGGAUGAAGGGAGCUUGCUCCUGGAUUCAGCGGCGGACGGGUGAGUAAUGCCUAGGAAUCUGCCUGGUAGUGGGGGAUAACGUCCGGAAACGGGCGCUAAUACCGCAUACGUCCUGAGGGAGAAAGUGGGGGAUCUUCGGACCUCACGCUAUCAGAUGAGCCUAGGUCGGAUUAGCUAGUUGGUGGGGUAAAGGCCUACCAAGGCGACGAUCCGUAACUGGUCUGAGAGGAUGAUCAGUCACACUGGAACUGAGACUCAGUCCAGACUCCUACAGGAGGCAGCAGUGGGCAAUAUUCGACAAUGGGCGGAAGCCUGAUCCAGCCAUGCCGCGUGUGUGAAGAAGGUCUUCGGAUUGUAUAGCACUUUAAGUUGGGAGGAAGGGCAGUAAGUUAAUACCUUGCUGUUUUGACGUUACCAACAGAAUAAGCACCGGCUAACUUCGUG